rnacentral:misc_RNA from 1 species
GCAAUCUGUAAUAGAAAGAAGGUUCUUAAGUUUUGAGUUAUAAAACAGAAAAUAAAGCCAUGACGCAGACAUGCAGAACACAAAAACCUAUAGUUAUUCAUUGUUUAAUCCAAAUAUUAUAGUUUUAAAGAAGAAGAAAACAGAUACUCACAGAUCAUCUCUAAACUAUAUUCCAUACGUCAGUAGAUUAACAUCAAGACAUUUUCUUUAUUUUUCCA